rnacentral:rRNA from 1 species
GACGUAGGGCGCGAGCGUUGUCCGGAAUUAUUGGGCGUAAAGAGCUCGUAGGCGGUCUGUCGCGUCGGCUGUGAAAACCUGGGGCUCAACCCCAGGCCUGCAGUCGAUACGGGCAGACUAGAGUCCGGCAGGGGAGACUGGAAUUCCUGGUGUAGCGGUGAAAUGCGCAGAUAUCAGGAGGAACACCGGUGGCGAAGGCGGGUCUCUGGGCCGGAACUGACGCUGAGGAGUGAAAGCGUGGGGAGCGAACAGG